rnacentral:sRNA from 1 species
ACAUCAACCUCCUGCUGUCCAUGUAUUUCUUCGUGCUGGGAAUCCUGGCCCUGUCCCACACCAUCAGCCCCUUCAUGAAUAAGUUUUUUCCAGCCAGCUUUCCAAAUCGACAGUACCAGCUGCUCUUCACACAGGGUUCUGGGGAAAACAAGGAAGGGGCUGACAGGUGGGAGGGGUAGCCCCGCCCCGGGGAGUGGACUUACCUGGCCUCUCUGCUCAGAGAUCAUCAAUUAUGAAUUUGACACCAAGGACCUGGUGUGCCUGGGCCUGAGCAGCAUCGUUGGCGUCUGGUACCUGCUGAGGAAGCACUGGAUUGCCAACAACCUUUUUGGCCUGGCCUUCUCCCUUAAUGGAGUAGAGCUCCUGCACCUCAACAAUGUCAGCACUGGCUGCAUCCUGCUGGGUGGACUCUUCAUCUACGAUGUCUUCUGGGUAUUUGGCACCAAUGUGAUGGUGACAGUGGCCAAGUCCUUCGAGGCACCAAUAAAAUUGGUGUUUCCCCAGGAUCUGCUGGAGAAAGGCCUCGAAGCAAACAACUUUGCCAUGCUGGGACUUGGAGAUGUCGUCAUUCCAGGGAUCUUCAUUGCCUUGCUGCUGCGCUUUGACAUCAGCUUGAAGAAGAAUACCCACACCUACUUCUACACCAGCUUUGCAGCCUACAUCUUUGGCCUGGGCCUUACCAUCUUCAUCAUGCACAUCUUCAAGCAUGCUCAGCCUGCCCUCCUAUACCUGGUCCCCGCCUGCAUCGGUUUUCCUGUCCUGGUGGCGCUGGCCAAGGGAGAAGUGACAGAGAUGUUCAGUUAUGAGGAGUCAAAUCCUAAGGAUCCAGCGGCAGUGACAGAAUCCAAAGAGGGAACAGAGGCAUCAGCAUCGAAGGGGCUGGAGAAGAAAGAGAAAUGAUGCGGCUGGUGCCCGAGCCUCUCAGGGCCAGACCAGACAGAAUGGGGGCUGGGCCCACACAGGCGUGCACGGGCAGAGGGCACAGGAGGCCGAGGGCAGCUCCAGGACAGGGCAGGGGCAGCAGGAUAACUCCAGCCAGGCCUCUGUGGCCUCUGUUUCCCUCUCCCUUUCUUGGCCCUCCUCUGCUCCUCCCCACACCCUGCAGGCAAAAGAAACCCCCAGCUUCCCCCCUCCCCGGGAGCCGGGUGGGAAAAGUGGCUGUGAUUUUUAGAUUUUGUAUUGUGGACUGAUUUUGCCUCACAUUAAAAACUCAUCCCAUGGCCAGGGUGGGCCACUGUGCUCCUGGAA